GCGGAAAGCAGACGUGCGCUCCCCACGCUCGCUCAGUUUCUGGCUGGUUGUCACGGAGAUCAGUCGCAUCGGUCUGCGCUCCUGCUGUGAGCUGUCCUAACCUGCCCAGACAUGUUAUGAUGACGUCACAGCUGACGUCACAGGAUGUCCGGAACUUGUGGUCAUAGCUGCGAUGCUUUGCAACCUGCACUGUGCUCCGUUGCCCGGCGACGGUCAGCGGCCGUUCCGGGCCGCUUUCUUCAAGAUGACGUCGUUGAUCUUCAACUAAACUCCUUCUCUCCACUCUAUUUCCAUCUUUUCAUUUUAUUUUCUGCCUAUUUUUUUAUUUUUUAUCAGCUCAAGUAGCCGGCAACUCACACAGUGGUCUGGACACGUCCUAGAUGCUCCCCAAUUAGUGUAAUGAGUCCCUGAAUUAUCCUAAUUACUGUGGGGGGUCCCAAAUUUCUCUAAUUGCUAAUUAAUGGCGUCCAGGCGACUGUGUGAGUUUCCGGAUACUUGAGCUGAUCCACUAGUACUUUUCUCAAGAUACACAUAAGUAAGGCCGGGAAAUCUAGGCCAUAACAACGAUGGGAAUAUAUAGGCUGGCAAUUAGGCCCUCAAAAAGAGCAAAAUGUGAAAUAAAAUACAAAAACGAAGUAUGCCACCAUCGAGAGAGAGGCGCUGGCCUUAGUAUGGGCAGUCCGUAAAUUUCAUUGGUACUUAUUUGGACAUGCUUUUGUGGUGCAGACAGACCACCAACCAUUAGAAUAUGUACGCAAAAGCAAGUGUCUAAACUCCCGCGUCACGCGGUGGAAUCUCUCGCUACAAGAGUACGAUUUCAUGAUACAAUAUAUUAAAGGUCAGAUAUGCCGAUUUUGAAGUGCCGCAGAACCGAGCGAUACUCGCGCUGUGUGUUCAUUAGCGAAUACUGAAUAUGUGUGCGUAAUAUCUUGUUCCAACUGUUCGUAGUUUUUUAGAAAACAUUUUUUUUAGUUCCCACGCCCGCCCGUCAGACCGUCGGCAAACCCAGCGCAAUGGCGCACCGACAUCACUGCUCUCGGUUUAUCUGUCUUUGGCUUGGCAUGAACUCUUGACUUGGCCGCUUGGCUUCUUUCGUUUCGUCCUUUGUGCAUCGUGCAUGAGCGAACAGCUGAUAUGUUAUUGCUAAGCCGGAAACAAAGCAUGUGAAUAUUUUUUUGGCACGGCGUCGUUUGGAAAGUGCACUUCCUUGUUCUGACCUUGCCUUUUAUGGGCUGGAGCGAUAUGAUAGUGAUAUGCCACGGCGAAGUUGUCGCAAAUGCGACGGUGCUACGCUGUUAGAACAAUUCAUCGGAGCAUUCAAGUGUUACCUAUAAUAAGCUCCCAAAAGAACAAGCAGUGCGAAGCUCUUGGCUGACAGCGACAGCGGUACCUGCUAAGUUCCAUUCCAGGGAUUUCGUCCACGAAUGCUAUCAUAGGUUACGCGCGACUCCAACGGCAAUGUGGAAUCUCGGCACGAAAUCGUCUGAUGAAAAUCUGAGGUGCCCGACACACAAAUUUUGAACGUGCCACAGAGGAUCAAGGCAAAAAACGAGAGCAAAAAGGUGCAUGCUGAAGGCGGAAAUGAAGCAGGAUGUGGCUUGCGUCUGGUGCAUGAAGAAAUUGCUGACACGUUAGUUGCAGUCUACCUGUCACCAACGGGGUGGAAAACAAAAGUCGCCAUUCCGAUUAGCUGCUGUCUCCCAGUUCAAGCACUUUUGCUGUCUGGACACUGGUUCCUGUGGAUGGGGUGGUACAAGCUUCACUGUCUGAUAUAGAAGGGGUGAGCAACCGUAAGGACACAUGCAAGAAUGUGAGUCUGUUUGAGAUGACAAACCCUCAUCACCUCAUGACGAUACAGUGGUUGAGGAAUGGUUCAUGUUCUCAAGCACAUGGAAUCUUCAACAAAUAAUUCAUGAAAAAGCCAGUCAGUGCCAGCACCAGGAAUUGAACGUGGACCGUCCUGCUACCAGUCAGAGAUGUUACCUUUCAGGCACUCUUGACUUUUGGUGAAUUACUUGUUGACUUUGUCCCAAGGUGGAGCUGGCCACAGCUCAUCUGACUAUCUGUUAAUGUUGUGGCGCGUUUUUCUCUUGGUGUGUUCCAGACUCAGAACGUUACUUUGAUCAGGUCAGGUACGUUUCAUUUAGACAUGGCAAAGUGUGUUUCUCAACACAACUUAGCAGUGGCCUUCAUUCAUUACUGCUGCGGCCAUUAAGCGUGAAUGAAAAGUUGCACAUUAUGUUCACUCUAGUUUUAUCGUGUGCUAUGUAAUCUUGUUCAAGUUCUGUCGAACGAGCGUAUAAUGCUAUCAAAAAAUUCAGUACACUCUUUAAGUGGGAUGAAUGGUAGUGUAUGAAUGCAGGAAGGAAACUGUCAUGUUAUGGCAAGUGUUUAUGUAUUGUACAUUUAACUACUAAUUUUAUUUCUUAGCUUUCGCCGUCGUAUCGUGUCAAGCCAUGUUAUAUUAAUCUGGAACAUGUUCUUCUUAGUGGCCAGAGGAGCUGAUACACAGGGAGAACAUAGCCCGUGUGUGUUUGUCUUUUCCACCGCAGUGCCUGGUUUUCCUCCCUGAUGGCUACACAUGUCAGGGAUAGGUUUCAGAACCGCUAGUGAAACGCUAGUGAUAUGAAACGCAUGGUUUAAAUUAUUUGCAGGACAGGAAUUGCGUAGCUUCCCACAAAUACUACUACGACGACGUAAGAGUGGUUUCAAAUCUAGCUUUUUUGUGUUCCUGACAUUAUCGCACAAGAUGUAGUGGACACUAUGAUCUUUUAUAAGGGGGGUAUGUACAGUGCAAUCAACAGGUGCUAUUUAUAAAUCUGUGUUACCUACUGUGUUGAAAUGGGGUACUUUGUAUCUGAGAGCCAUAGUGAAACACAGGCAGCCAAGGACAGACUUUUGAUGCCCUCGAGAAACAUGGCAAUACAUUGCAGGGACUCUGGAUGCUGCCUAAAUUUCCAGAACACAGAGCUCAAGGCAGCGUUGAAACAACAAGUGGUUAGAGAAAUCCAAGACAGUUGCAUGUGUAAGCAGUCCGCUGUUGGAUUUGCUUCUGUCCGAGAUAUGUUAUCUCAAAGCGGACGCACGGGCACACUCAGAAUGAUACUAGGACUGCCUGUGAAAUAGAAUGAGGAGAGGGGGAAGAUAUAUAACCCUUUUUUCUUGUCUGUUAUUCUGUUGGUUAAAUUGUCAUUUGCUUAGCAGCAUGUAUGUGUAUAUUCCAGAGUCUGCUAAUAAAUAUAUCAGUUGAGAGCUAGCAGUCGCAUAGUAGAUGUCUCAUCCUGUCCUUGGCUGCUUGUGCUUCACUAUGGCCAUGUUUGCUAUUGCAAAAAUAUAAAAUAAAAAAGACAAUAGAAAAACACGAAAAGAAAAAACACGGCCUGGAAAGCUGCCUGUUUUAGUGCUCACAUGGAGGCAGUGCAAUGAGGUAACAUGUUCCAUUCAUGAACUGUGCGUAGUAGUACAUAUCACAAUGGCAACUACUUUGUCUUUUGGACGUUUGAUUGCCCAGCCUAUUAUUGGAGCUUUAUGUGAUUCCCCUCUUGAGAUACUUUAAGAUUGAUGAUGCUGUGCAGUUUGUUAAUUUUGACACUGUACCGUGCUGAGGUACGAAAAGAGAAUUGUCAUAUCUGCAUUUGAGUACAUAGGAAUAAUUUGUAAGUACUUUCCUUGUUGACAUUAUUAUUUGCACCAGGUCACAGCAUUGUUGAUUGAUGGAAAAUGUAAAUAAAUAUAUUUAUUUGC